GCGUCGGUAGUCCCGUAGGGGGCGGGAACGGUCUGUAAAACCGCUGUCAUAUUGGCCUCGUGGGUUCGACUCCCACCCGGCGCACCA
rnacentral:tRNA from 1 species